GAUCUCUUCAAUAAUGUUACCAGAGUAAGUAAUGCUAAAACAUAAUCUUCUAUACUAUUGUUAGAAUGAUUCUUGUUCUGAUAGCCCCAAAAGUGCAAGAAUUUAAGUGAAUUGAAUUCUGUUUGGCUAUUUUAUUGUAAAACUGUUUCAAUUUUGAUGCAAAAAGUAUUCCACAUGAAAUGUUAAAGAAAAGAUAUUAAGAAAAUAAAACCAUCCCUUUACUUGAACUGCUAAGCUCUUGGUUGGCUUAUGCAUAGAACCACAACCAAGGCUAUUGAUGCAAAUUUCGUUAUAUGUUCAUUUCCUUUGAUUAUAGUUUUGGAUUACUAGGCAAAUGUUAUUGACAGUAGACAAAAUAAUAUUUCAUGUUAAUUGAAUUUGCAGCUAGAUUAUGCAGCGAG
rnacentral:misc_RNA from 1 species